rfam:Triticum aestivum genome assembly, contig: Triticum_aestivum_CS42_TGACv1_scaffold_404557_5BL
GUUGUACUCCCUCCGUCCGAAAAUACUUGUCAUCAAAAUGGAUAAAAGAUGAUGUAUCUAGAGUUUUAGUUCUAAAUACAUAUCUUUUUGUCCACAAGUAUUUCCGGACGGAGGGAGUAAUAA